CCCUUGUGAUCAAUCACGUGUUUGAACCCAAGGAUAAGCUUCCUCAAUCGCCAGCAAUCAUCAAUGUAAUGGGCAGUGACAACCGUGUAACUAGCACCUGUGAUCAAGCCAAACAGAAAGAUAAAAAACAUAAGGAUCAAGCCAAACAGAAAGAUAAAACAUAUGAGGAUCAAGCCAAAAACUCCUUACGUGUUACUUGAGCAGUCCAGAUAUCAGUCGUCACCGAAACUCUUUGCUUAUUAGCUUUAAACCAUUUCUUCAUAGCAGCCUUCCUCUCCACAUA
rnacentral:lncRNA from 1 species